CUCGACUGUGGGCCGCGGCGGCCCCCGUAGAAGCUCGGCCGCGCCCGUCCUGGCCGUGUGACCCGGAAGGGAGCUGCUGAGGAGGCGGGGCCAGGACGGCGGGACCGGCCGCUGGCUCCCAGCGAGGGCCAAGCCGGGCGGUCGGAGGAGGUCAGGAUGGUGGGGGAACGGCGCACCGGGGACCUCAUGGUGCCCUUGGGGCCCCGGCUGCAGGCAUAUCCUGAAGAGCUUAUUCGACAGCGGCCUGGGCAUGACGGGCAUCCUGAAUAUCUGAUCCGAUGGAGUGUUGUGAAGUGUGGGGAAGUGGGCAGAGUGGGUGUGGACGAGGGCAAGACAGAGCACAUCCUCAUGUGGCUGUCGGCCCCCGAAGUCUAUGCCAACUGCCCCAUGCUGUUAGGUGAGCGGGCACUAUCUAAGGGACCUCAGCACGAACCAGCUGGGUGUUCAGGAAGCUUUCCCCGAGAUCCAGGAGGUCUGGAUGACACAGCAAUGCGAGAGAUGGAGGCUGAUGUGCGGGCGCUGGUGCGCAGGGCUGCCAGGCAGCUGGCAGAAGGUGGGACCUCGAGCCUCACAGCUGCUGUGCUCCACACCAUCCAUGUGCUCAGUGCCUAUGCCAGCAUCGGGCCCCUCACUGGGAUCUUCAGGGAGACGGGAGCCCUGGACCUGCUCAUGCAUAUGUUAUGCAACCCUGAGCCUCAGAUCCGUCGGAGUGCGGGCAAGAUGCUACAGGCUCUGGCAGCCCACGAUGCUGGGAGUCGGGCUCACGUCCUUCUGUCACUGAGCCAGCAAGAUGGCAUCGAGCAGCACAUGGAUUUUGACAGCCGCUAUACUUUGCUGGAGCUGUUUGCAGAGACCACCUCCUCUGAGGAGCACUGCAUGGCCUUUGAGGGCAUUCAUCUGCCUCAGAUCCCAGGAAAACUGCUCUUCUCCCUGGUGAAACGCUACCUGUGUGUCACCUCCCUGCUGGAUCAACUGAAUAAUAGCCCAGAGCCAGGGGCUGGAGACCGAGGCUCCCUGUCCCCAAGGGAGUUCGGCCAGGAGAAAAGCCGGGGGCAGCGGGAGCUGGAGUUCAGUAUGGCCGUGGGCAACCUCAUCUCAGAGCUGGUGCGGAGCAUGGGCUGGGCCCGGAACCUUAGUGAACAGAGCACAUUGCCACCGCGGCCGGCCCGGUCCAUCUUUCAGCCCUGCAUUUCAGGCCCUAGCCUUUUGCUCCCCACCAUGAUUGCCGCCCCCAGAAGGCAAGAGCGGGCCUUCCGCCAACGCUCUGAAUUUUCGAGCCGCUGUGGCUAUGGUGAGUACGUGCGAGAGACGCUGCAGGCCGGGAUGCGAGUGCGCAUGCUGGAUGACUACGAGGAGGUCAGCGCUGGGGACGAGGGCGAGUUCCGUCAGAGCAACAACGGUGUGCCCCCCGUGCAGGUCUUCUGGCAGUCAACAGGCCGCACCUACUGGGUGCACUGGCACAUGCUGGAGAUCCUGGGCCCUGAGGAAGCUGCCGAGGAUGGAACUUCAGGAGCUGUGGAGAAGGGGGCAGGAGCUCCUCUGCUGGGCACAGCACUUCCCUCCUGGGACUGGAAACCUGUGGAUGGGCUCUACUCUUUGCCAUACCUCCAGCCCGAGCCUCAGAAGAAUGAGCAGUUGGGCUACCUGACCCAGGCUGAGUGGUGGGAGCUGCUCUUCUUCAUCAAGAAGCUGGACAUAUGUGAGCAGCAGCCAGUUUUCCAGAAUCUUCGGGAGAACCUGGAUGAGACCCUGGGUGACAAGACCCUGGGUGACCUCUCCGUGCCCGUAGAGAUGGCUGAGGGUCUGCUGCAGGUGCUCAGCAGUCGGUUUGAGGGCAGCACCCUCAGUGACCUGCUCAGCUCCCAAAUCUACACCAAGUACGGGCUGCUGCCCGAUGAACUAAGCAUCUCGUCCUCUUCACGAAGUCACUCCUGUACCCCAGAUCCGGAAGAGGAGUCCAAGUCGGAGGCCAACUUCUCAGAAGAAGAGACUGAGUCGCCCAAAGCAAAAGCUGAGCUCCCGAAGGCAGACGCAGAACCUGCCAAGGGAAAAACUGAGCCCCCCAUGGCACAGAGUGAUUCACAGCUGUUUAACCAGCUUCUGGUGACUGAGGGGAUGGCUCUGCCCCCUGAGAUGAAGGAGGCAGCCAGUGAAAUGGCAAGAGGCUUGCGGGGUCCUGGUCCGCGCAGCUCCCUGGAUCAGCAUGUGGCAGCGGUCGUGGCCACCGUGCAGAUAUCCAGCUUGGACACAAACCUGCAGCUUUCAGGGCUCUGUGCCCUCUCUCAGGCCGUGGAGGAGGUCACUGAGCGGGACCACCCUCUGGUCCGUCCCGACAGAUCCCUGAGAGAGAAGCUAGUGAAGACCCUGGUGGAGCUGCUUACCAACCAGGUGGGAGAGAAGAUGGUGGUGGUGCUGGCCCUGCGCCUUCUGUACCUGCUCAUGACCAAGCAGGAGUGGCGCCCGCUCUUUGCCCGGGAAGGCGGCAUCUACGCCGUGCUGGUUUGCAUGCAAGAAUAUAAGACGUCCGUCCUGGUGCAGCAGGCGGGGCUGGCGGCACUGAAGAUGCUGGCCAUUGCCAGCUCCUCGGAGAUCCCCACUUUUGUUUCUGGCCGAGAUUCUAUCCACCCUUUGUUUGAUGCCCAGAUGACCAGAGAGAUCUUUGCCAGCAUCGACUCAGCCACCCGCCCAGGCUCUGAGAGCUUGCUCCUUACUGUCCCUGCAGCCGUGAUCCUGAUGCUGAACACAGAGGGGUGCUCCUCCGCAGUGAGAAACGGUUUGCUCCUUCUCAACCUGCUUCUGUGCAACCACCACACUCUGGGGGACCAGAUUAUAACCCGAGAGCUGAGAGACACCUUGUUCAGGCACUCCGGGAUAGCACCGGGGACAGAGCCCAUGCCUACCACGCGCACCAUCCUCGUGAUGCUUCUCAAUCGCUACUCAGAGCCACCGGGCAGUCCUGAGCACACAGCAGCACUGGAAGCCCCUGGUGCCCAGGGCCAGGAUGGGUCCCCCGAAUGCCUGAUCCAAUCCCUGGUGGGGGGCCCGUCUGCAGAGAUCCUCCUGGGCUUGGAGCGGGUGCUGUGCCGAGAGGGCGGCCCAGGGGGCGCUGUGAGGCCCCUUCUCAAGCGCCUCCAGCAGGAGACCCAGCCCUUUCUCCUGUUGCUGAGGACUCUGGACGCCCCAGGGCCCAACAAAACUCUGCUGCUGACCGCACUGAGGAUCAUGACCCGGCUGCUGGAUCACCCUGAGGCCAUGGUCCUCCCCUGGCACGAGGUCUUGGAGCCCUGCCUCAACUGUCUCAGUGGCCCUAGCAGUGACUCUGAGAUUGUUCAGGAGCUGCUCUGCUUUCUGCACCGCCUGGCCUCCAUGCAUAAGGACUAUGCUGUGGUUCUCUGCUGCCUGGGAGCCAAAGAGGCCCUCUCCAAAGUCCUGGACAAGCACUCGGCUCAGCUGCUGCUGGCCUGUGAGCUUCGGGACCUGGUGACGGAGUGUGAAAAACAUGCCCAGCUCUAUAGUAACCUCACCUCCAGCAUCCUGGCUGGCUGCAUUCAGAUGGUGCUGGGCCAGAUCGAAGACCACAGACGGACCCACCGACCCAUCAACAUCCCCUUCUUUGACGUGUUCCUCCGGCAUCUGUGCCAGGGCUCCAGUGUGGAAGUGAAGGAGGACAAGUGCUGGGAGAAGGUGGAGGUGUCCUCCAACCCGCACCGGGCCAGCAAGCUGACCGACCGCAACCCCAAGACCUACUGGGAGUCCAACGGCAGUACCGGCUCCCACUACAUCACCUUGCACAUGCACCGUGGUGUUCUUGUCAGGCAGCUGACUUUGCUUGUGGCCAGUGAGGACUCAAGCUACAUGCCGGCCAGGGUGGUGGUGUUUGGGGGCGACAGUGCCAGCUGCAUCAGCACUGAGCUCAACACGGUGAAUGUGAUGCCCUCCGCCAGCCGGGUGAUCCUCCUGGAGAGCCUGACCCGCUUCUGGCCCGUCAUCCAGAUCCGCAUAAAGCGCUGCCAGCAGGGCGGCAUUGACACCCGGGUUCGAGGCGUGGAGGUCCUGGGCCCCAAGCCCACUUUCUGGCCACUGUUUCGGGAGCAGCUGUGUCGCCGGACAUGUCUCUUCUAUACCAUUCGGGCACAAGCCUGGAGCCGGGACAUAGCAGAGGACCGCAAGCGCCUCCUCCAGCUCUGUCCCCGACUCAACAGGGUUCUGCGCUACGAGCAGAAUUUUGCUGAUCGCUUCCUCCCUGAUGACGAGGCCGCCCAAGCACUGGGCAAGACCUGCUGGGAGGCCCUGGUCAGCCCCCUGGUGCAGAACAUCACCUCCCCCGAUGUGGAGGGUGUGAGCUCCCUGGGAUGGCUGCUGGAUCAGUACUUAGAGCAAAGGGAGAGCUCUCAGAACCCCCUGAGUCGAGCAGCAUCCUUUGGCUCUCGAGUUCGUCGCCUUUGUCACUUGCUGGUGCAUGUGGAACCGCCGCCUGGGCCUUCUCCUGAGCCAUCCACUCAGCCCAUCAGCAAGAACAGUAAGAGCCGGGAUCGGAGCCCCGGGCCGUCGGCAGCCCUUCCAAGCAGCAGCCUGAGGAACAUAACGCAGUGCUGGCUGACUGUGGUGCAGGAGCAGGUCAGCAGGUUCCUGGCUGCAGCCUGGAGGGCCCCUGACUUCGUGCCUCGAUACUGUAAACUCUAUGAGCGUCUGCAGAGAGCAGGCUCAGAGCUCUUUGGGCCUCGGGCAGCCUUCACUCUGGCUCUGCGCAGUGGCUUCUCUGGUGCCUUGCUCCAGCAGUCCUUCCUCACCGCUGCCCACAUAAGUGAGCAGUUUGCCAGGCACAUCGACCAGCAGAUCCAGGGCGGCCUGGUUGGCGGAGCCCCUGGAGUGGAAAUGCUGGGGCGGCUUCAGCGGCACCUGGAGCCCAUCAUGGUCCUUUCUGGCCUGGAGCUGGCCACUACUUUUGAGCACUUCUACCAGCACUACAUGGCAGACCGUCUCCUGAGCUUGGGCUCGAGCUGGCUGGAGGGGGCUGUGCUGGAGCAGAUCGGCCUCUGCUUCCCCAACCGCCUCCCCCAGCAGAUGCUGCGCAGCCUGAGCACGUCGGAGGAGCUGCAGCGCCAGUUCCACGUCUACCAGCUCCAGCGGCUCGACAAGCUGCUCUUGGAGCAGGAGAAUGAGGAGGAACAGGGCCUGGAAGAAGAGGAGGAGGAAGCAGAGGAAGAGGAGGCUGAGAAAGAACUAUUUAUCGAAGAUUCAAGUCCAACAGUUUCCGUACUGGUCCUGUCACCACGCUGCUGGCCGGUCUCCCCACUCUGCUACCUGUACCAUCCCAGAAAGUGCCUUCCCACUGAAUUCUGUGAUGCCCUUGACCGCUUCUCCAAUUUCUACAGCCAGAGUCAGAAUCAUCCGGUCCUGGACAUGGGACCCCAUCGGCGGCUGCAGUGGACGUGGCUGGGCCGGGCUGAGCUGCAGUUUGGGGACCAGACCCUCCAUGUGUCCACCGUGCAGAUGUGGCUGCUGUUGCAUUUCAAUCAGACAGAGGAGGUGUCUGUAGAGACCCUGCUGAAGAAUUCUGACCUCACCCCGGAGCUGCUGCUCCAGGCACUUCUGCCCCUCACCUCAGAUAAUGGCCCUUUGACCCUGCAUGAGGGUCAGGGCUUUCCACACAGGGGUGUGCUGCGGCUUCGGAUGCCUGGGCCCCAGCGCUGUGGGGAGGCCCUGUGGCUGAUACCUCCCCAGACGUACCUGAAUAUAGAGAAGGAUGAGGGCCGAACUCUGGAACAAAAGAGGAACCUCUUGAGCUGUCUUCUUGUCCGUAUUCUCAAAGCCCAUGGGGAAAAGGGCCUCCAUAUUGAUCAGCUGGUUUGUCUGGUGCUGGAGGCCUGGCAGAAGGGUCCAAACCCUCCUGGAAGCCUGGGCCGCACUGUUGACGGAGGCGUGGCCUGUACCAGUACCGAUGUCCUUUCUUGCAUCCUGCACCUCCUGGGCCAGGGCUACGUGGAACGGCGCGACGACCGGCCCCAGAUCCUGGUGUAUGCCACCCCAGAGCCCACAGGGCCUUGCCGGGGUCAGGCAGAGGUCCCUUUCUGUGGCAACCAGACCACCAAGACCUCCAAGCCUAGCCCAGAAGCCGUAGCCGCCCUGGCCUCUCUCCAGCUGCCUGCAGGCCGCACCAUGAGCCCCCAGGAGGUCGAAGGGUUGAUGGAGCAGACGGUACGGCAGGUGCAGGAGACGCUGAACCUAGAGCCCGAUGUAGCGCAGCACCUUUUGGCUCAUUCUCACUGGGGCGCUGAACAGCUGCUGCAGAGCUACAGUGAUGACCCCGAACCCCUGCUGCUGGCAGCUGGGCUGUGCCUACCCCGGGCCCAGGCCGCCCCUGCACGCCCCGACCACUGCCCUGUGUGUGUCAGCCCGCUGGAGCCCGACGACGACUUGCCCUCCCUCUGCUGCAGGCACUACUGCUGUAAGUCUUGCUGGAAUGAGUAUCUGACAACUCGGAUUGAGCAGAACCUUGUGUUGAAUUGCACCUGCCCCAUUGCCGACUGCCCUGCGCAGCCCACUGGAGCCUUCAUCCGGGCCAUUGUCUCCUCCCCAGAUGUCAUCUCCAAGUACGAGAAGGCCCUCCUGCGUGGCUACGUGGAGAGCUGCUCCAACCUGACCUGGUGCACCAACCCCCAGGGCUGUGACCGCAUCCUGUGCCGCCAGGGCCUGGGCUGUGGGACCACCUGCUCCAAGUGUGGCUGGGCCUCCUGCUUUAACUGUAGUUUCCCUGAGGCGCACUACCCUGCCAGCUGUGGCCACAUGUCCCAGUGGGUCGAUGACGGCGGCUACUACGACGGCAUGAGCGUGGAGGCCCAGAGCAAGCACCUGGCCAAGCUCAUCUCCAAGCGCUGUCCCAGCUGCCAGGCUCCCAUUGAGAAGAACGAGGGGUGUCUGCACAUGACCUGUGCCAAAUGCAACCAUGGAUUCUGCUGGCGCUGUCUCAAGUCCUGGAAGCCAAAUCACAAAGACUACUACAACUGCUCCGCCAUGCAGAGCACCCCAGAGCCCUCCGUCUCAACCUGUCCCUACCAGGUAAGCAGAGCAGCUCGCCAGGAGAAGCGGUUUCAGGACUAUAACGAGAGAUGUACUUUCCAUCACCAGGCCCGGGAGUUCGCUGUGAGCCUGCGGGACCGCGUGUCUGCCAUCCACGAGGUGCCACCCCCCAAAUCCUUCACCUUCCUCAGUGACGCCUGCCGGGCACUGGAGCAGGCUCGCAAGGUGCUGGCCUACGCCUGUGUGUACAGCUUCUAUAACCAGGACACGGAGCACAUGGAUGUGGUGGAACAGCAGACCGAGAACCUGGAGCUGCACACCAACGCCCUACAGAUACUCCUCGAGGAGACGCUGCUGCGGUGCCGAGACCUGGCCUCAUCCCUGCGCCUUCUGCGAGCUGACUGCCUUAGCACGGGCCUGGAGCUGCUGCGGAGGAUCCAGGAGAGGCUGCUGGCUAUCCUGCAGCAUUCUAUGCAGGACUUCCGGGUUGGUCUGCAGAGCCCAUCGUUAGAGGCCCGAGAGGCGAAAGGAUCCAACGUGCCUGGCAGUCAGUCCCAGGGCUCCUCGGGGCUGGAGGUGGAUGAGGACGACGACGACGAUGACGACGUGCCCGAGUGGCAGCAGGACGAGUUUGAUGAGGAGCUGGACAACGACAGCUUUUCCUAUGACGAGGAGUCUGAGAACCUGGACCGAGACACUUUCUUCUUCGGUGACGAGGAGGAGGAUGAUGAGGCCUAUGACUGAGGGGCAGGACACAGGGAACACCUGGAGCCAGCCCCGGAUGAGGGCCGAGGGGACCUCCAGACACUUGUGUUCUCAGAAAAGGCACCAAGCAGACCAAUUUGACCUAAGCUGACAAAGGGAAAUGAAGGUCCACGCGGUCCAGGGCCAGAUGCAGGCCUGUCGGCUUGCCCCAGGCCCCACCCAGCGUCAGAGGAGACUGAGAAACAGCCACCACCGCCCCCCGCCCCGCCCCAGCCUUCCUCCAAACUCUUGAACGUUCCUGGCAGGAGUCUGAGAGCAUUAGGAAGUACUCUCUCUUGGGGAACCUGGGGUACAGAAUGUUAAUGGGUCUCUCUACACCUUGAAGUGAAGCAGGAAAGAAAAGGAUAUUCCUGAGGACAUGUCCCGCCCCCCCCCAACUCAUAUAGACAUAGGUAGAAUUUUAAACAUACCUUUUAAU